UAGGGAAUCUUCCGCAAUGGGCGAAAGCUUGACGGAGCAACGCCGCGUGAGUGAUGAAGGUCUUCGGAUCGUAAAACUCUGUUAUUAGGGAAGAACAAAUGUGUAAGUAACUAUGCACGUCUUGACGGUACCUAAUCAGAAAGCCACGGCUAACUACGUGCCAGCAGCCGCGGUAAUACGUAGGUGGCAAGCGUUAUCCGGAAUUAUUGGGCGUAAAGCGCGCGUAGGCGGUUUUUUAAGUCUGAUGUGAAAGCCCACGGCUCAACCGUGGAGGGUCAUUGGAAACUGGAAAACUUGAGUGCAGAAGAGGAAAGUGGAAUUCCAUGUGUAGCGGUGAAAUGCGCAGAGAUAUGGAGGAACACCAGUGGCGAAGGCGACUUUCUGGUCUGUAACUGACGCUGAUGUGCGAAAGCGUGGGGAUCAAACAGGAUUAGAUACCCUGGUAGUCCACGCCGUAAACGAUGAGUGCUAAGUGUUAGGGGGUUUCCGCCCCUUAGUGCUGCAGCUAACGCAUUAAGCACUCCGCCUGGGGAGUACGACCGCAAGGUUG
rnacentral:rRNA from 1 species